CUUGAGUUUGAUCAUGGCUCAGAUUGAACGCUGGCGGCAGGCUUAACACAUGCAAGUCGAGCGGUAACAGGGGGAGCUUGCUCCCUGCUGACGAGCGGCGGACGGGUGAGUAAUGCAUAGGAAUCUGCCCGGUAGUUGGGGAUAGCCCGGGGAAACCCGGAUUAAUACCGAAUACGCCCUACGGGGGAAAGCAGGGGAUCUUCGGACCUUGCGCUAUCGGAUGAGCCUAUGUCGGAUUAGCUGGUUGGUGGGGUAACGGCCUACCAAGGCGACGAUCCGUAGCUGGUCUGAGAGGAUGAUCAGCCACAUCGGGACUGAGACACGGCCCGAACUCCUACGGGAGGCAGCAGUGGGGAAUAUUGGACAAUGGGGGCAACCCUGAUCCAGCCAUGCCGCGUGUGUGAAGAAGGCUUUCGGGUUGUAAAGCACUUUCAGUGAGGAGGAAAACCUGAUGGUUAAUAUCCAUGAGGCUUGACGUUACUCACAGAAGAAGCACCGGCUAACUCCGUGCCAGCAGCCGCGGUA
rnacentral:rRNA from 1 species